rnacentral:rRNA from 1 species
GAUGAACGCUGGCGGCGUGCCUAAUACAUGCAAGUCGAGCGAAGCGGGGACGGGUGAGUAACAUGUCGAUAACCCCCCAUAAGACGGGGAUAACUUCGGGAAACCGGAGCUUAACCCGAUAAUUAUAGAUGGAUCCGCGCGGCAUUAGCUAGUUGGUAAGGUAACGGCGUACCAAGGCAACGAUGCAUAGCCGACCUGAGAGGGUGAUCGGCCACACUGGAACUGAGACACGGUCCAGACUCCUACGGGAGGCAGCAGUAGGGAAUCUUCCGCAAUGGGCGAAAGCCUGACGGAGCAACGCCGCGUGUGUGAUGAAGGUCUUCGGAUCGUAAAACUCUGUUAUUAGGGAAGCGGUACCCAAACAGAAAGCCCCGGCUAACUCCGUGCCAGCAGCCGCGGUAAUAC